ncrna:unclassified sequences L13-Bacteroidia ribosomal protein leader
GGGAGGUUCUUAGAAUCCCCGCGGGUGACGUGUAAAUAGCGUUUGUCUUUGGCCGGACUACGUGGUUUGUGAAUC